GGCCCCUUGGUCAAGCGGUUAAGACAUCGCCCUUUCACGGCGGUAACAGGGGUUCGAGUCCCCUAGGGGUCACCA
rnacentral:tRNA from 2 species